rnacentral:rRNA from 1 species
GACGAACGCUGGCGGCGUGCCUAAUACAUGCAAGUCGAGCGAAUGACGAGAAGCUUGCUUCUCUGAUUUAGCGGCGGACGGGUGAGUAACACGUGGGCAACCUGCCCUACAGAUCGGGAUAACUCAGGGAAACCUGGGCUAAUACCGGAUAAUCCUUCGAAUCACAUGUUUUGAAGUUGAAAGGCGCUUCGGCGUCACUGUAGGAUGGGCCCGCGGUGCAUUAGCUAGUUGGUGGGGUAACGGCCUACCAAGGCAACGAUGCAUAGCCGACCUGAGGGGGUGAUCGGCCACAUUGGGACUGAGACACGGCCCAAACUCCUGCGGGAGGCAGCAGUAGGGAAUCUUCCACAAUGGACGAAAGUCUGAUGGAGCAACGCCGCGUGAGUGAUGAAGGUUUUCGGAUCGUAAAACUCUGUUGUAAGGGAAGAACAAGUACGUUAGGAAAUGAACGUACCUUGACGGUACCUUAUUAGAAAGCCACGGCUAACUACGUGCCAGCAGCCGCAGUAA